rnacentral:lncRNA from 1 species
GAACACGCACCUGCUGUUUCAGCAGGAAGGGUAGAAGCCUGUGGUCCACGAUCCUGAACGACUCCUGGGCUUGUGACGGACGCAUUUCAUUGGCUUGUGAUGGACGCAUUUCAUUGGCUUGUGACGGACGCAUUUCAUUGGCUUGCGACGGACGCAUUUCAUUAGCUUGUGAUGGACGCAUUUCAUUGGCUUGUGAUGGAUGCUUUUUGUUCCGCAAGUGGGACUUGCACACGUGGGAGCGGCUCACCCACCCCAUGCCUCCGUCUGCCGCGUGUGUGGCCCCAAGCCGAGGACCCACAAAGCCGUGUACCACCUCCUGACGUGGCUCUGGAUGACCAGCCUGGGAGGGGAGCUGGAGAGCCCUGCUGCCUGCGGUGGACUGUCCCGGAGAAGCCACGGUGACGACAGGAAGAGAUGUAACAGCUGAUGUGCACGAAGCCUCUACUGGCACAAGUCACCGUGCGUGCUGCUCACAGCAGCCCCGAUUUUUGGCAGAGCCACCGUGUUUAGUCUUGUUGCUGCCCAGUGCACCACGUGCUCCUUUUAAGAUCCCUCAUUCUUGGUAUGUUGAACGAUUUUCAGCUGAAUCCUGGACAUUUUUGUAUCAUAUUCUGAGACUCUGGUUAUAGUUGGACCCUCGGUUUUAGCUGGGCUUUUGGACACCGCUCAUUAAUGUCGGGUGGAAGUAAACUGAAUUCUUACGCAUGAGACAGAGGCUGACCACGGAUGUGCAGGGCAAAGGGGCCACCUGAUGUGGGAGAUGGCUGAGGUCUACAAAAGGCAGUUACGUAAGUGAGAUGCUGCCACCUCCAAGGCCCCACAGUCCUCAAGCAACGUCGAAGAACAUGACUCAGGUCAAGUGGGAACGUGUGUUGAUCAGAUAAGCAAGGCGGGUGAGGAGCACCCAUGGGUGGUGGAUUUGUGAGCAGAGAUCACCCCAGUGCUUGGAUGCAUGCCAACAUACUUUGCUCAAUUUCUGCCUUCUAAAUCUGGACGCUGCCCUCUUUCUGUGGCUACAGACUUGCCCCCUGAAAGGAAGGAUGUGCUGAGAGUAGACACUUGGUGGGGUGUCUUUCUAGCCCCUUUUCUAGAACAGGCACCUUUCUUGGAAUCUCACUUGGGCACCCCACCAUCCAUAUAUUCUCUGCCCCUCCCCACCUGCCAUGGCAGAAGGAGCCAGGAUGGACAUCUGGCCAUCACUGUGUUGAUCUUAUUAUCUCUGGGGUGUUCUCUUAACCAGAAGAACUGAAAUGGGCCAUGCUAGAGGGAUGGCCAUUUCCACCUGACACGUGUCCCAAGAAGCAGAGAACAGACCAUGGAGAACAGCAGGUAGCUCUGUGCUUGGGUGCAAGAGAUGCCCCUGUGUCCUUAGAUAGAAGCCACCAUCCACCCCAUUCAAGCCAGGCUGAGAAGCCUUCUCUAUUUGCCGUCCUCAAGUGUGAGCUAUUUCCUGGAGCCACAGUUAGCAUCUCUACCUUGUUAAAAUGACUGAUAAUCCAAACUCUGGGUGUGUGGCCAGGGGAAUUGUGUCAGGAAUCUAUUACAGACUGUCCCCAAACUCAGCUGAGGUCUCCAAAACGGUGGUAGACAUAUGUUAUCUCACACAAUUUCUGUGGAUCUGGAGUCCAGGAGCAGCUUAGCUGAGUGGCUCUGGCUCAGGGUCUCUUGUGAGGCUGCAGCACAGUGGUCGCUGGGGCUUCAUCAUCUGAAGCCUCGACUGGGGCCGGUGGAGCUGCUUCUAGGCUCACUCACCGGUUGCUGAGAUGCUUCAGGUCCUCCCUGGCUGUUGGUCAGAGGCUUCAGUUCCUUAGGAUAUUUCUACAGGACUAUAGUUUGCUUCCCUCAGAGAGAAGAAGGGAGGGGCAGAGAGAGAGGGAGGGAGAGAGGAUGUGAGAUGCGUGGGGCUGGCUACUUAAUGGAGAAGAGAGUGGGGACGAGCAAUCUGGAGAGCUCCGAGAAAGCCCGUAGAGUUCCGGAAUGUUGCUCAGGGUCCAGGGAUGAGAGAUGCAGCUGAUGGAGAAGGUGGGGGACCACUGGCCUUCAGCUGGUGCAGAGGGAGCGGGUGAGGGUGAGAUCCUGGGGGUUACAGUCGGGAGCCUGGGGGUUUACCCAGGGGAAUGAUGUCUUCUCACGACUCCAGCAUCAGUGAGCAGAGAACGGAGCGGUAGGCGGCGGGAGGGGGAGCCAGAUGUGGGCAGAGAGACACGCUGUGGUUACUUCCUCUUCUCAGAUGAGGAAGCUGAUGCUGGAGAAGCAGAGCAGCUAGUAAGAGGUCACAGGGCUGGGAGGUGUGUAGAUGGGCUUCGAGCACAGGCCGUCUGCCCGGAGCACGUGCCUUCACCGGAUGACUCUGACCGUCUGGGGGGCGUUGAAUUGUGUCCCCACAAGAUCCGUCCAGUUCCUGGUACCUGCCAAUGUAUCCGUAUUUGGAAAAGAUACCUUUGCAGACUUAACCGAGUUCAGGACCUUGAGAUGAGAUCAGAGCGGAUAAAGGGUGGGCUCUCUAGCCAAAGACAGGUGUCCCUGUGAGAUAAAGGAGAAGGAGGUUUGAGACACAGACACACUGGGGGCAGAAGGCCAAGUGAGAAAGAAGACAGAAAUUGGAGUGAAGCAUCCACAAGCUAAGGAUGCCAGCACUGCCAGCAGCCUCCAGAAGCUGGGAGACAGGUGUGAGCAGGCUCCAGAGGGAGCAAGACCCUGCCAACACCUUGAUUUAGGGCUUCGGUUUCCAGAACUGGGAGAGAAUGGACUCCUGUGUCCUAAAGCCCUGUCAUCUGUGGCUGUUUGUUACAGCAGCUCUAGGACCUUAAUACAGCCUUCCCUGCCCCUUCCAGGGACAGCCUGAGCUCCCCACAUUUCCAGACACUCACCUGACCUGGGAAGACAGCCAGACCUGAGGGGGAGGGGGCAGAGACCCCUUCUCCUGCUGCCUGUUCUCCCCAGGAAACUUCCACAAUGCUCCCUGCUUCUCCAGAGCCUGACCUGAGCUCCAAACAGCUCCAAACUGAGAGAGGGAGAGAGAGGGAGAGAGAGAGAGAGAGAGAGAGUGCCCAGGUGGAGUGGGAAGGGCCUCUCCAACUUCGAUAUUCAUAAGAAUCACCUGGAGAGCCUGAAAAACAUCCCUGGGCGCCCCCACCCAUCUGCAGCCCCAAGAGGUUCUGAUUGAGUAGGUGGGAGGUGGGCCCGGGAAUGUGCCUGACUCAUAAACUGUUGGGGUCGCUGGUCUGGGGCCCACAAAUUGAGUAGCACCAUUCUAGGCAGAGGCAACAGCUUAGACUGAGGGGGUGGAACAGACGUGUGGGUGGGAGAACACCAGUGGGCAGGGAGCACAGAGGCUGGAACUGGGGGAGCCUGAUGGUGGAGCUCAAAUGGGAUGGCGCUGGUCCUCGAGGGUCAGGGGCAUGUCCCAGGCCAGGACACCCGCUCCAGGACCUGCUUAUGGAAGGGGAGCCAUGAGUACGCCUGGCAAGUGCAAGACAGUAUGGGACUUGGGGGACUGGGUAGGGCCUUGGGUCAAGGGUCUUGAGCAUGGGGUUGGCGGCUGCCAUGGAGGUUUAGAGCAGGGGGGGUGUCCCCCCACCUUCAGGCGGGGCAGCCAGCUCACAAAUGUCAGUCCCACCAACAGGGAACCCAGCGGGGUGUCUGCAAGUUUCUCAAAAUCUCCAGCCUGCAGAUGCUGGCACUCAGGCUGGCAGGCGAGCUCAGCUGCAAGGGGCCCAGAUUCGGAUUGUCUUAAGGAGACAAAACUGAGACAAGCCAUAUUGAAGCCGCUCGGGAGGCCUCAGAAGGAGCCUCUGUCUCCCUGUGAUUGUUCCCGAAAGCAAGGCCCCUUCCAUCUGCGAGGCUAGGCCCCUGUCUUUGCAAAUGCCUCCCACUCCCCAUGGAGCCGGGAACGCUUAAUGCAGCUCGGCGGGGCCCUCAUAAACAGCCCUUCCCCAGCUGGUAGGAGCUGUUUUCUUUUCCCCUCUAAGAGGUUUGUUCCUGGUCAUAAAUUCUGCAGGCCCAGGCGGCCAGGCAAGGAUGAACACGUUGGUAAACACUGUAGUUAAAAACACGGCUUCUCGGCUGAGAAAGGGGCCCUGACAAUGGAGCCUUGUCCCCGGCAGCGAAUCUGAUGGCCCAUCUUCUUUGAUUCCUUAACCUUGCUGCGGGCUUGUAUGCAAUUGGCCUCAUUCUCCGGGGUCCAUCAAACGUACAUUUAAACGCCUUCAUUAGCAUCUUCCUCUGAUCCAGAACCGCUCGGCGAAUCCAACAGGCAUUGCGGAGAGGGCAGCCGCAGUUUCUCUCUGGUGAACAUCGAAAACUCCUUGACAAAGUUCCUUUUACAAUUUACUUCCUUUGUUCCAUCUUCAAGAUCUUUCGUGACCAAUGUACUCGGAGAUGACUUGGGGACAAAAAUCCCGUCUGGCCCAGACAGUAAAUCUAGCCUCCAUUCAGACGGGUUAAAUGCGUGCUUUAUGCCUAUUGUCGCAGGCUCUCCAAAGCUCUUGCGCCUUUAAGGGUUUCCUACAAUAAAUUACACCCAUCACCCCGUGGUCUGGGUUGAGGGAGGGGACUGGCAGUGGGGAGGGCUUGCGUUCACCUCGCAUGGGAUGAACAGGCUGGGACGAGGCUGCCAGGCAGUGGCACAACUGCUCUGCAUUGCCACCAAUCGCCCCGGACUUCUGGCCUCGUGCUCCUUGGGAGUCUUGUUUGCAAGAAGCCAAAAGCCCAACUCUAAGUGGAUGCGGCCAAAGUGCACUGGGAAGGGUGGCUUGCUUCGGUCGCCACUGCCCCAGGACCAGGCAGCUCUCUCCAGGAGGGGAUGUCCCUAGGCUCCCUCUGGUGGGUCACAGUGGGUCCAGUGGCAGCUGCUGGAGCCCCAGGACCCUCAAGUUCAAGUCCGUCAUGACGGAGCAAGCAUCCUUUCCCAGCAGUCCCUAGCAAGAGCCUCAUUGGCUGAGAUUGGGUCACAUGAUUGUUCCUGACCAAUCCCAGUGGUUCCCUAGCAGGUGCCUCAUUGGCUGGAAUUGGACCACCUGACUUUUUCUGAGCAAUCCCAGUGUUCCUUAGCAGGAGCCUCAUUGGCAUGGGUUGGACCACAUGACCAUCCCUGCCAAAUCCCAGGCCUGGGUCGUUCUAGUGGGGGAAAGCUGGGUUGUGGUGCCCAGAAGAGCCAGGAAAAGCUCUGGACAGCCGGAGCAGCAGACAUUGGUUAUGGCGUCUAACCGAGGGCACCUCCUUUGCCCCACAGACCUGAGUCAGGGUGGCAGGGGGUGGCUCAGAGGCGGGAACCUAGGUUCCUUCCCUGCAUAUCUACCCCUGCGUCCACUGCAGAGUCUGUCUCCCCAUGGCCGCUGUGCUGCCUCCAGUUCGUGUCAACUCUGAUGGGCUCCGGACAACUCCGUAGCAUUUUCUCUGAGGCACGACUGUCGGCUGCAGGGGAAUUAGUGUUCUGCAAGUCCGGUGUUCGCUGGUCUGGAGGCCGCCACAGAUCUGAGGGCCAGGAUGGUGGCUCUGGCCAGGAUCGGAGCACGGGCAAAAGGGUCCAUGGUUUCAGCAGAUGCUUUUGAACCCUGGUCUCUGACCGUGGAGUGGUCCAGUAGAAAGCAUCGAAGACCAUGGCAGAGACCAAUCCCCUCAUCUUUCUUAUUGUCAAAACCAUGAUUUGGGAAAACAUUGAUCCAGCCUAAAUGUGCUGAAUACAUGACACAACAGUGGCUACUGACAUAUAAUGGGUGUUAUUGGAUGGGCCUUCUGGGGAAAUCCCUUAGCAGCUAAAUGGCCCCUUCUGUCCUUUCUUGAUUCUUCAUGCCCCAAAUGCAGAUGUGAUGGAAUUCCAUCCUCUCAUCAUUGCUCACACGUAAUGCUGUCAGACUCCCCCGCCCCCUUUUUUGGUCAGGCUGAAGGAUGCAAUGUGCCAUCCUUUUCAUCUCCUUAAUUACUUAAUUAUGGUGAGGUGUGAUGCCCACUUCAGAUUCUUAACCUGUAUUUUGAGUCUUUGUAUCUUUUACCCAUUUUUCCAUUUAUUGAUUUGUAGAAGUUCUUUACAUAUUCUGGACAGGCAUCAUUUUGCCAAGGAUAAGCAUUGCAUACAUUUUCCCCACCUGUGGCUGACCUUCUCUUUUUUCCUAUGUUGUCUUUUGUCAUAUUCCAGGUUUUUACGUCUGCCCUAAGUAAAUGUAUUGAUCUUGUCCUAAUUGUGCUUUCUGUGUUGGUUUAACACAUCUCAUCUCAGGGUGGUAAGGAUAUUUUCCUAGGUUUUAUUUUAAAAUUGUAUGAAUUGUCUUUGUAUACUUAGGUCUCCUUUAACUGAAAUGUAUUUCUCUUUGCAGGUGUGAAGGAAGGAUCUAAUUUUGCCUGGCUUUCCUUUGUAAAGCCAAUCAUCCUAGGUCCAUGUAUUGAUUGCUUUUUCUUUUUCUAAAAUAAGUUUUAUUCUUAUAUAUCUUCCCCACAAAAUGUGUGUCUCUAUUCUGUUUGUUUGUUUAUUUAUUUAUUGGCUGUGCCCAUGGCAGGCGGAAGUUCCCAGGCCAGGGAUUGAACUCAGGCCACAGCAGUGAGAACUCUGAGUCCUUAACCUCGAGGCCACCAGGGAACUCCUCAUUAGUUUAUUUAUUUCUGCACCAAUACCACACAGUUUUAAUUACAGAGGAUUUAUUAUGAAGGCUCAUCUCGGAUACGAUUCUUUCAUGCUCUCUCAUUCCUUACCUCUUUCUUCUUCUCUUCUUUGUCUUCUUUCAAGACCGUCUCCCUGUUUUCAGCACAUUCCUAUUCCACAUAAGUUUUCAGAUCACUUUGUCAGUUUCAUGGAAUGGCCUUAGGAAUUUUGAUUAGAUUUGUCUUUAAUUAAUAACUGAUUUGAGUAGAACUGUCGUUAUUACACUAUCGAGUUUGCCUACCCAUGAAUGUGUCACACCUUGUAAUUUAUUUAGAGCUUACUUUAUGUCUUUCAAUGAGGAUUUGUAGUUUUCUCUGUAAAAGUCUUGCAUGUCUUUUAUUAGACUUUUUGUAGGUGCUGCUCAUUAUUUGAUGUUAUUUUGAAUAUUAUCUUUUUAAAGUUACUUUCUCUGUUGUUGAUGACUAGGAAUGUAAUUGAAUUGCUCUGAUUGUUUUAGAAGAAAAUCAUUUGUCAGUUAACAAAGGCAAAUAGAUAUAAUUAAAUGUCAACAGAUAAAGAGAAUUCCAAAAGAUAUUCAGUUAAAAACAAAACAGGCAGGGAAGGAGGAACACAGGAGAAAAUAAAACAGAGAGGGCAAAUAGACCUAAAUCCAACUACAUAAAAAUUAUGCAUAUGCUAAUGAAUUAAAUACUCCAUUUUUUAAAAAAGGAAGGAAAACCCAAGCUGCUCUGGACAAGAAACACAGUUUACUAUAAAGAGACAGACAGAUUGAGAGCAAAUAGGUGGGAAAAUGAUAAACCAGGCAAACAAUAAGUAUAAGAAGACUGAAGUAGUUUUAUUAAUAAGAUAAAUAGACUUCGAGUCAAAGCCAAGGUGUAAUCACUGCAAUAAAGAGGAACCAACCUACCUUCCUUCCUUCUUUCCUUCCUUCCUCCCUCCCUCCCUCCCUUUCUUUCUCUCUCUCUCCCUUUCUUUCCUUUUUUUUUUUUGGCUUUUCAGGGCCACAUCUGUGGCAUAUGGAAGUUCCUGGGCUAGGGGUCAAAUCGGAGCUAUAGUUGCCGGUCUACUCCACAGCCACUGCAAUAUGGGAUCUGAGCCCCAUCUGCGACCUACACCACAGUCUUGAUGGGGGGCAAGAGAGUGAUCUUGAACCAACCCUGUGGGCUGAGAAGGAGAGUCCAGCUUCCCAUGAGGAGCUCUUCCUUCUUUAGGCAAAUAAAGGAGUUGUGUGACAUCAGUGGAGGUCAUUCUGCAUUCCAAUUGGAUUGAUCAGGAACCCACUUAACCAACCACAUCAGAGGAUACAUUUUCCCUUUUGGACGCUGAAGUGAAUUUUCCAGAAACUGUAGGAGGUGGGUUUGCCCUAGAAUUAGUUGGCAGCUCGUACCUAUUGUUUAAAAAAAAAAAAAAAAAAAAAA